ACUAAUAUUUGUGCUGGCCCUACCUAAUAGUUUUAUUCUUCAGCUUUUUUUGUUUUUCCUAACAAAGGAAGGAUCUGAGUGAGAGACAUCAACACUGUGGAGGACAUGUGACCUUCUGGGAGUUGUGAGGCCCUCUGGUUUUCCCUUUGUUUCACCCUUUCUAUUCUGGUGGGUAACAGGCCUUUCUAUUCUUAUCUGAGAACCUGACUUGUUUUUUAAUUUAUUUUUCCUUCUAAUUCAUUUGCAAUAGGUUUCUCAAAACAUUAUACCACCUCGCUAUUGGACAUGAUGAGUCUUCUGAUCAGCUCACACUUGAGUUCUUCCUUGGUGAAAGCUAUCUUUGUUGGAAAUCUGGAUCAUUCAUCUCUCCAGAGACUCCAAGGCCACUGGAAGAAUUCUGACUUGGUCCCAGGUGCAGGGUACAUACCAGACCUCCAUCUGCCUCUGGUCUAAUCUACAAAAGGAGUUCCCUUCUGAUGUCUCAGGAAAAAAGAGACAAGUGCCAACCUUCAAAAGAGAGCCUUGGAAAGUUCCUGCUAUCUCAGGAAGGCUUCACUUAGAAAUCCUCCCAGAAGAAGAUGUCCUAACUUCAGUGCAACAAAAACCUGAGUGAUAACAUCAGAUUUUGCCAGAAUGGAGUUACAUCCUGGCUGUCAUACAGAAACCCAGGCUUCCGACAGUGAGCACACUAUUAUGUCACAUUCUUUCAACAGCUCCAGGAGAACAGAGGAAAACAAUGGUGUGGGUAAUUUAAAAUAAUA